GGCGUCGCGUGUGUGAAUCAACUGUGCGACUGUCUUUCACUCGUAUGGCGCUUAUUUCAGGGCACCACGCUGACGCAAGUGGACUUGACCUUCAAGAUUGCUUGAAACCAGCACGAGCCCGCCAAGCCAAGAUGGCGCGCUCACACAACAGAGCCGCAGGACUAUGAGAAAGCGCCGGAUCUGAUAGCUAUGAUUUCAAGGGCCUCGAGCGGUGACAAACUCUGUCAGCUGUAUACUUCGACGGGUUUGGGAAAUCUCGGGAAAUUCAUGGAGGUCACCCGAGAAUAUCACCCCAGCUGCCACUGGUGGCCUGGACAGUAUAAAAAAAUUAUGGCUCUUGCAGAGCGGCUGGUCUCAGAUCAUGGCUACUUCAGAUCAUGAGCAUAAAAACAACGUAUGGUAUGAAUGGACCUACCAGGAACCUUUCAGGACACAUUCAAGCUCCUCUUGU